GUCUCUAUGGCGUAGUGAAAGCGUGACGGACUCUCACUGGGAAGAUCUGGGUUCGAAUCCCAGGUGAAACA